rnacentral:rRNA from 1 species
AUAUUGCACAAUGGGCGCAAGCCUGAUGCAGCCAUGCCGCGUGUGUGAAGAAGGCCUUCGGGUUGUAAAGCACUUUCAGUCAGGAGGAAAGCGUGGUGGUUAAUACCCAUCAUGUGUGACGUUACUGACAGAAAAAGCACCGGCUAACUCCGUGCCAGCAGCCGCGGUAAUACGGAGGGUGCGAGCGUUAAUCGGAAUUACUGGGCGUAAAGCGUACGCUGGCGGUUUGUUAAGCGAGAUGUGAAAGCCCCGGGCUCAACCUGGGAACUGCAUUUCGAACUGGCAAACUAGAGUGUGAUAGAGGGUGGUAGAAUUUCAGGUGUAGCGGUGAAAUGCGUAGAGAUCUGAAGGAAUACCGAUGGCGAAGGCAGCCACCUGGGUCAACACUGACGCUCAUGUACGAAAGCGUGGGGAGCAAACGGGAUUAGAUACCCCGGUAGUCCACGCCGUAAACGAUGUCUACUAGAAGCUCGGAGCCUCGGUUCUGUUUUUCAAAGCUAACGCAUUAAGUAGACCGCCUGGGGAGUACGGCCGCAAGGUUAAAACUCAAAUGAAUUGACGGGGGCCCGCACAAGCGGUGGAGCAUGUGGUUUAAUUCGAUGCAACGCGAAGAACCUUACCUACACUUGACAUACAGAGAACUUACCAGAGAUGGUUUGGUGCCUUCGGGAACUCUGAUACAGGUGCUGCAUGGCUGUCGUCAGCUCGUGUUGUGAGAUGUUGGGUUAAGUCCCGCAACGAGCGCAACCCCUAUCCUUAGUUGCUAGCAGGUAAUGCUGAGAACUCUAAGGAGACUGCCGGUGAUAAACCGGAGGAAGGUGGGGACGACGUCAAGUCAUCAUGGCCCUUACGUGUAGGGCUACACACGUGCUACAAUGGCGCAUACAGAGUGCUGCGAACUCGCGAGAGUAAGCGAAUCACUUAAAGUGCGUCGUAGUCCGGAUUGGAGUCUGCAACUCGACUCCAUGAAGUCGGAAUCGCUAGUAAUCGCGUAUCAGAAUGACGCGGUGAAUACGUUCCCGGGCCUUGUACACACCGCCCGUCACACCAUGGGAGUGGGUUGCUCCAGAAGUAGAUAGUCUAACCCUCGGGAGGACGUUUACCACGGAGUGAUUCAUGACUGUACUGAAGUCGUAACAAGGUAACC